UGAUUUAAACGGGAUGUAUUUGAUUCUUGCCUUAAUUAGGGAUUUGAUUUAAAUCAAAUCCCUAAAUACACCAACCUGGCCAAAUUAGGGAAGAAUAAUUCUUUUCCAUCUGCGGAAUUAUUCUUUUGAAACCCUAGCCUCUGAGGCCCCUUAUAAAUACUUGGCUACGCACAAGAGUUGAGGUACAUCUAAAUUCCUACUAAAAUUCUGCAG
rnacentral:lncRNA from 1 species